GUAUAAAAGGGAGCCGCUCCCGUGGAGAAGACCUAGCCGCUGCUCCUCCCGCACUCGCGCCGCCCUCCUGCCUCGCCUCUCUCUCCCCCUCGACCCGCGACCUAGCCCCCGCGACCCUCGUCCCGCCGCCGCCGCCCUCCUGCCUCCUGCCUCCAAGCCCUAAGCCCCUGCCGGAUCCGCCCCUCCCCAAUUCUUCGCGGCCAAGAAGCGGAGGCCCUCGUCGCAGCAUGGGAGCCCCGGGGCCGCCAAGGGGUCCCUGGUCCAGUCCCCUCCCGCCGUGGCGGCGGUGGCGGGGUCGUCGUCGGCCCUGGCCGGCUCCCCCUCAGGCGCCCGGAGCGAGCUGCACGCGGAGCCCCACGGCCUCCGCCUCGAGGCGGACGACGCGGGACGCAAGUGCGAUGGAGGUGAUCUUGCGCACCUCCAUCGUCCACCAGCUGCUCGAGAUGGAGUCCGUGGCCGGCGAGAAGACCAGCGGCGUGGCGGACAGGCCCGUCGUAAGCCAUGUAUGAGCAGGGUGUUGGCCGCUCGUCCUCUGUCCCGAGUUUAGGUUGCCCGUAUGAGAAAAGAGAGAAGAGGAUUAAUCUUCCUCUGCCAGGUAAACCUUGUCAUCCUUCCUAUCAGAGUUCUCUGAUAAUCUUAUUUUGAUUUCUUGAUUUAUAUUUUUUCUAAACACAUAAUGUGCAGAUCUGAGAAAAAAGAGAAAAGGAUGAAUCUUGAGGAAGAGCUUGGUGAAGAACAAGGUGAUCUCCUAACACAGUGACAUUCUCUGCCUCUCUCUCUCUCUCUGUCUAUCUUCAGGUCUUACAUAUGUUUUCUUCUUUAAACAAUGUUCAUUUAAUUUCUGGAUUGGUGCAGGUUCGAGGAUGUAAAUCUAUCUGAUAUGUUGUUGAUGGGGAUUAAGAUUAUUGUAUUGACAUAUCUGAAAGUAUUCUACUGACAUAUCUG
rnacentral:lncRNA from 1 species